AUUUUGAUGGGUCUACUUCGAUGGCUUCACGUUUAAUCAUGACAUCUGAUGAACCAUCAUCAUUGCCUUCGCCGCUUCUUUGAGAUUUUGAUGGGUCUACUUCGAUGGCUUCACGUUUGAUCAUGCCAUCUGAUAAACCAUCGUCGUUGCCUUCGCCGCGUCUUUGAGAUUUUGAUGGAUCUACUUCGAUGGCUUCACGUUUAAUCAUGACAUCUGAUGAACCAUCAUCAUUGCCUUCGCCGCUUCUUUGAGAUUUUGAUGGGUCUACUUCAAUGGCUUCACGUUUGAUCAUGCCAUCUGAUGAACCAUCGUCGUUGCCUUCGCCGCUUCUUUGAGAUUUUGAUGGGUCUACUUCGAU
rnacentral:lncRNA from 1 species